UACGUAGGGUGCGAGCGUUGUCCGGAAUUAUUGGGCGUAAAGAGCUCGUAGGCGGUUUGUUGCGUCGGCCGUGAAAACCUGCAGCUUAACUGUGGGCCUGCGGCCGAUACGGGCAGACUUGAGUUCGGUAGGGGAGACUGGAAUUCCUGGUGUAGCGGUGAAAUGUGUAGAGAUCGGGAGGAACACCGGUGGCGAAGGCGGGUCUCUGGGCAUUUCCUGACGCUGAGGCGCGAAAGCGUGGGGAGCAAACGGG
rnacentral:rRNA from 1 species